CCUACGUGAGGCAGCAGUGAGGAAUAUUGGUCAAUGGGCGGAAGCCUGAACCAGCCAAGUAGCGUGCAGGAUGACGGCCCUACGGGUUGUAAACUGCUUUUAUACGGGAAUAACGCGCCUUACGUGUAGGGCUUUGCAUGUACCGUAUGAAUAAGGACCGGCUAAUUCCGUGCCAGCAGCCGCGGUAAUACGGAAGGUCCGGGCGUUAUCCGGAUUUAUUGGGUUUAAGGGGAGCGUAGGCCGCAUGUCAAGCGUGCUGUGAAAUGUCCGGGCUCAACCCGGGCCUUGCAGCGCGAACUGGCGGGCUUGAGGCCGCGGACAGCAGGCGGAAUCCGAGGUGUAGGGGGGAACUGCUUAG
rnacentral:rRNA from 1 species